GGAAAAAGGCACAAGCCAUCCAGAAGCAAAACACUGCCCCCCACGUAUUGUCUCGUGAGGGUUAUAAAUAUUUAGAACAAAAGCUCAUGGCUGAGAAGACAAAGAAAAGACUGGAAGAAGCUGCCCAGUCUGGAAGCACUGAGAGCAUCAUUGACCCUCCAUCUCCCAUCAGACGCCACGUGAAGUGGAAGAUGGCCCGCACGAAGAAAACUGGACAGAUGACGUCUAAGGCAACAAAGGAAAUAGCUGACAGGAUUGAAGCUGUGUCUCCAGCAAAACCUCCAGAAAGCCCGAAUGAAGAGGUCGAUGAUCCCCUGUACCUGAUGACAUAGACCAUCCCACAACUGUUUUUGAAGCCUCUCCAGGUUAUGUGGGAUGCUACCAUAUUCGGGGUGUUUAAUCAAAAUUUCUCGUUGUAUAUAAAGCACGAAGAUCUCUCUGAAAUUGCACACGGUGGUCAAUGUCUCAGCAUAUCUGUUAUACAAUUGUGGAUUCUCCAUCUGAUUGAGACAAGUGUGCGAGCGGGGAAUUCUGAUGUGUAUGGAUUCCUCGAGCCAUAGUCCAUUCAGAGAUCUGGACAAUCACAAUUUGAAUCCAAAAGUUACAUCAAGAGUUGGAUACAAAGUUCAAAAUGAGAUGUUUAUCUUGGAGCCUACUUAAAUGGGUAAGUCAAACACAACAAUUGAAUUUAAAUAAUCCAUACUACUACAAUAACCCAUAUUCGUCUCUACUACAACGGACACUGGCAAAUGGUCGUCAUUCUGCCUAAGGAAAACCUAGUUGUCUGGUUUUGUUCUUUACAUAACAGGCCA